CUUGCCCGCCGCCGAUGCAGACGGCCCGCCGGAGGUCCUGCUACUUGCUCCUCCGACCCUCCUCCUCCUGCUGAUAGUGCGGACAGACGCCAUGGAGAUCAAGUCUUUCAUUGCCUUUACCGUGUUUCUUAAAGCCUUUGGUGGUCUCCUUUUCAUCAUCAGCAGCUCGUUCGGAGCGUUCGUACUGGUCUCCGCCAACAUUGGGAAUUUGGGAUGGCAGUGCCACACAUUGAUGUAUGGAUACUUUCUGGUCGGUUGCCUCGUUGUACAUCAUUGUUCCCUUUUUAAGGAUCCAUUCACCUAGUUCCUAUUUUUAUGGCUUUUGUUCUAUUUCUUUAUAGAUCAAGUCUGUCAUUGCCUUU